UUCAAGGCUGUGUUACCUGCAAGCCCGCCUGACCCAGAGAACAACAACGUCAGCAAUGACUGCUGGUACGUGAUCCUGGCUCGUGGACACUGGCUUCCAGCUUUCCUCCCGUAUGUGCUGCUGCAGCAGAAACCGGAUAGCUCACAGUCCUUCAGGAGAAGAGAAAGGAAGAAAAGGAAGGAACAGAACUGGCUAAAUCCUACUCGGGAGCUGCCAGGAGAAGCUGCAGCCGAGGGCAGGGUGCAAU
rnacentral:lncRNA from 1 species